GUCUAUGGCCAUGCCACCUGUAUGCACCCGAUCUCGGAAGCUAAGCAGGGUCAGGCCUGGUCAGUACUUGGAUGAGAGAAGCACAAGGAACUUAGAGA
rnacentral:rRNA from 1 species